rnacentral:rRNA from 1 species
GACGAACGCUGGCGGCGUGCUUAACACAUGCCAGUCGAACGGAAAGGCCCUGCUUUUGUGGGGUGCUCGAGUGGCGAACGGGUGAGUAACACGUGAGUAACCUGCCCUUGACUUUGGGAUAACUUCAGGAAACUGGGGCUAAUACCGGAUAUGAGCUCCUGCUGCAUGGUGGGGGUUGGAAAGUUUCGGCGGUUGGGGCUGGACUCGCGGCUUAUGAGCUUGUUGGUGGGGUAGUGGCUUACCAAGGCUUUGACGGGUAGCCGGCCUGGGAGGGUGACCGGCCACAUUGGGACUGCGAUACGGCCCAGACUCCUACGGGAGGCAGCAGUGGGGAAUAUUGCACAAUGGGCGGAAGCCUGAUGCAGCAACGCCGCGUGCGGGAUGACGGCCUUCGGGUUGUAAACCGCUUUCGCCUGUGACGAAGCGUGAGUGACGGUAAUGGGUAAAGAAGCACCGGCUAACUACGUG